UGCUAUACAUGCAAGUCGAGCGGACCGACGGGAGCUUGCUCCCUUAGGUCAGCGGCGGACGGGUGAGUAACACGUGGGUAACCUGCCUGUAAGACUGGGAUAACUCCGGGAAACCGGGGCUAAUACCGGAUGCUUGAUUGAACCGCAUGGUUCAAUCAUAAAAGGUGGCUUUUAGCUACCACUUACAGAUGGACCCGCGGCGCAUUAGCUAGUUGGUGAGGUAACGGCUCACCAAGGCGACGAUGCGUAGCCGACCUGAGAGGGUGAUCGGCCACACUGGGACUGAAACACGGCCCAGACUCCUACGGGAGGCAGCAGUAGGGAAUCUUCCGCAAUGGACGAAAGUCUGACGGAACAACGCCGCGUGAGUGAUGAAGGUUUUCGGAUCGUAAAACUCUGUUGUUAGGGAAGAACAAGUACCGUUCGAAUAGGGCGGUACCUUGACGGUACCUAACCAGAAAGCCACGGCUAACUACGUGCCAGCAGCCGCGGUAAUACGUAGGUGGCAAGCGUUGUCCGGAAUUAUUGGGCGUAAAGCGCGCGCAGGCGGUUUCUUAAGUCUGAUGUGAAAGCCCCCGGCUCAACCGGGGAGGGUCAUUGGAAACUGGGGAACUUGAGUGCAGAAGAGGAGAGUGGAAUUCCACGUGUAGCGGUGAAAUGCGUAGAGAUGUGGAGGAACACCAGUGGCGAAGGCGACUCUCUGGUCUGUAACUGACGCUGAGGCGCGAAAGCGUGGGGAGCGAACAGGAUUAGAUACCCUGGUAGUCCACGCCGUAAACGAUGAGUGCUAAGUGUUAGAGGGUUUCCGCCCUUUAGUGCUGCAGCAAACGCAUUAAGCACUCCGCCUGGGGGAGUACGGUCGCAAGACUGAAACUCAAGGAAUUG
rnacentral:rRNA from 1 species